CAAUAGCGUAUAUUUAAGUUGCUGCAGUUAAAAAGCUCGUAGUUGGAUUUCGGGUGGGAAUGGCCGGUCCGCCGUUUCGGUGUGCACUUGCUACGCCCACCUUGCUGCCGGGGACGUGCUCUUGAGUUCACGCUCGGGACACGGAGUCGGCGAGGUUACUUUGAGUAAAUUAGAGUGUUCAAAGCAGGCCUACGCUCUGAAUACAUUAGCAUGGAAUAACACGAUAGGACUCUGGCCUAUCUUGUUGGUCUGUAGGACCGGAGUAAUGAUUAAGAGGGACAGUCGGGGGCAUUCGUAUUUCGGUGCUAGAGGUGAAAUUCUUAGAUUACCGAAAGACAAACUGCUGCGAAAGCGUCUGCCAAGGAUGUUUUCAUUGA
rnacentral:rRNA from 1 species